UACGAAGGGGGCUAGCGUUGUUCGGAAUCACUGGGCGUAAAGGGUGCGUAGGCGGGCAUUUAAGUCAGGGGUGAAAUCCCAGAGCUCAACUCUGGAACUGCCUUUGAUACUGGGUGUCUUGAGUAUGAUAGAGGUAUGUGGAACUCCGAGUGUAGAGGUGAAAUUCGUAGAUAUUCGGAAGAACACCAGUGGCGAAGGCGACAUACUGGAUCAUUACUGACGCUGAGGCUCGAAAGCGUGGGGAGCAAACAGG
rnacentral:rRNA from 1 species